CAGUAGCCACGGUAAUACGUAGGGUGCGAGCGUUAAUCGGAAUUACUGGGCGUAAAGCGUGCGCAGGCGGUUGUGUAAGACAGGUGUGAAAUCCCCGGGCUUAACCUGGGAACUGCGCUUGUGACUGCACAGCUAGAGUAUGGCAGAGGGGGGUGGAAUUCCACGUGUAGCAGUGAAAUGCGUAGAGAUGUGGAGGAACACCGAUGGCGAAGGCAGCCCCCUGGGCCAAUACUGACGCUCAUGCACGAAAGCGUGGGGAGCAAACAGGAUUAGAUACCCAGUAGUCCCUGUCUCUUAUACC
rnacentral:rRNA from 1 species